AAGAACGGAGCCAGCUGCGAGACUUGGUGUGAAUUGCAGGACACAUUGAGCACUGAUUUUUCGAACGCGCAUUGCGGCCUCGGGUCCUGCCCGGGGCCUCGCCUGUCUGAGGGUC
rnacentral:rRNA from 1 species